GACGAACGCUGGCGGCGUGCCUAAUACAUGCAAGUAGAACGCACAGUUUAUACCGUAGCUUGCUACACCAUAGACUGUGAGUUGCGAACGGGUGAGUAACGCGUAGGUAACCUGCCUGGUAGCGGGGGAUAACUAUUGGAAACGAUAGCUAAUACCGCAUAAUAUUGAUUAUUGCAUGAUAAUUGAUUGAAAGAUGCUAUUGCAUCACUACCAGAUGGACCUGCGUUGUAUUAGCUAGUAGGUGAGGUAACGGCUCACCUAGGCGACGAUACAUAGCCGACCUGAGAGGGUGAUCGGCCACACUGGGACUGAGACACGGCCCAGACUCCUACGGGAGGCAGCAGUAGGGAAUCUUCGGCAAUGGACGAAAGUCUGACCGAGCAACGCCGCGUGAGUGAAGAAGGUGUUCGGAUCGUAAAGCUCUGUUGUAAGAGAAGAACGGGUGUGAGAGUGGAAAGUGCACACUGUGACGGUAUCUUACCAGAAAGGGACGGCUAACUACGU
rnacentral:rRNA from 1 species